GACGAACGCUGGCGGCGUGCUUAACACAUGCAAGUCGAACGGAAAGGCCCUGCUUUUGUGGGGUGCUCGAUUGGCGAACGGGUGAGUAACACGUGAGUAACCUGCCCUUGACUUUGGGAUAACUUCAGGAAACUGGGGCUAAUACCGGAUAUGAUCUCCUGCUGCAUGGUGGGGGUUGGAAAGUUUCGGCGGUUGGGGAUGGACUCGCGGCUUAUCAGCUUGUUGGUGGGGUAGGGGCUUACCAAGGCUUUGACGGGUAGCCGGCCUGAGAGGGUGACCGGCCACAUUGGGACUGAGAGACGGCCCAGACUCCUACGGGAGGCAGUAGGGGGGAAUAUGGCACAAUGGGGGGAAGCCUGAUGCAGCAACGCCGCGUGCGGGAUGACGGCCUUCGGGGUGUAAACCGCUUUCGCCUGUGACGAAGCGUGAGUGACGGUAAUGGGUAAAGAAGCACCGGCUAACUACGUG
rnacentral:rRNA from 1 species